rnacentral:rRNA from 1 species
GUGCCAGCAGCCGCGGUAAUACGGAGGGUGCGAGCGUUGUCCGGAAUCAUUGGGCGUAAAGGGCGCGUAGGUGGCGCGGUAAGCGUGCGGUGAAAGCCUGGGGCUCAACCCCGGGUCGGCCGUGCGAACUGCUGGGCUUGAGCACUGUAGAGGCAGGCGGAAUUCCGGGUGUAGCGGUGGAAUGCGUAGAGAUCCGGAAGAACACCGGUGGCGAAGGCGGCCUGCUGGGCAGUUGCUGACACUGAGGCGCGACAGCGUGGGGAGCAAACAGGAUUAGAUACCCCAGUAGUCC